CCUACGGGGGGCUGCAGUAGGGAAUAUUGCUCAAUGGGGGAAACCCUGAAGCAGCAACGCCGCGUGGAGGAUGAAGGUUUUCGGAUUGUAAACUUCUUUUGUUAGAGAAGAUAAUGACGGUAUCUAACGAAUAAGCACCGUCUAACUCCGUGCCAGCAGCCGCGGUAAUACGGAGGGUGCAAGCGUUACUCGGAAUCACUGGGCGUAAAGAGCGCGUAGGCGGGAUAGCAAGUCAGAUGUGAAAUCCGAUGGCUUAACCAUAGAACUGCAUUUGAAACUGUUAGUCUAGAGGAUGGGAGAGGUAGGUGGAAUUAUUGGUGUAGGGGUAAAAGCCGGAGAGAUCAAGAGGAAUACGCAUGGCGAAGGCGACCUGCUAGAACAUAACUGACGCUGAUGCGCGAAAGCGUGGGGAGCAAACAGGAUUAGAUACCCCAGUAGUC
rnacentral:rRNA from 1 species